UAACGUCGGUGUGAAAAUACGGUGUUUGAGAUAUAAACCAGCCCGCUAGCUUCAGUUUUCGGUGUUAAAAUGACCUGCUAGUUAUUCACGAAUGCGCAGAACAUGUUUUUUGCCGGACUGCGACGACCUACCCCUACACUGCAAUCACAAACGUGAGAAUGUCCAUAUAACGUCGGGCAGCCAUUUUCGCCCGUCAGCGCCCAAAUUGAUUGCUGCAUCCAUUUCAUUCAUGGCUCCUCUACCUCCCUUGAGGAUUCAGCUCCAGCAGAGAGAGAUCAAGAGAGCAGGCAAAAUGACCAGUCAUCGAAACCUUCCUGGAAAACAAAGAUCUUUCCAAUCUAAUCACUAUUUUGAAGAAGAUAUAAAGUUGAUCAUUGAUAUCUAUCAAUAUACCUCUUGUAUGAAUACUGUUUUUUAAUUUACUGAUCAAGGGAUGAAAUAUAUUUCAGAUGAUAUUUGAUGUAGUCUGUCAUUUUUCAAUGAGUAUAAGAGGACAGUUACUCUAAUAUCAUACGGAUGUUACUCGGACAUGAUGUCCGUGUAACAUUGGUAACUGGAGGUGUUGAGGUGAAUAUAGACCAUAAAUCUUGCAGGUUUCCUUUCAAUUGUGUUAUCAUCUCAUUAAAUAUGUUUCAUGCAUCAAUUAAUUAGCACAUUUCUUGGAAUGUAGCCAAGAUUUUCUAUGCAAGAGAAAAGAUUAUCCUUUAGAAAAAAAACAUGAUCUGAAAAUUGCUAGUUCCUCAUUUGUUUCAUGUUUAUAAAUUGAUAUAAUGUUGCUGUGUUCAAGUUUUAAGUAUUCUAAACUAUUGCUCCCAUCAUCUAAAUGUUUUCCACACACAAAAAAGUGGAUUACAGACUGUGACAAAGUUUCAGAUCAGAAAAUAAAUGAGCAAGUAAAAAAAAGAUGUCCUUGUAACGUUGGUUUUUUGGUGUGUCUGUUUUUUCAUUUUAAAUGAAAGUGUGCGAAGGAAUACACACAAUUCCAGUGGAAUCUAUUGAAGAAUGGGUGU
rnacentral:lncRNA from 1 species